rnacentral:rRNA from 1 species
UACGUAGGGUGCAAGCGUUAAUCGGAAUUACUGGGCGUAAAGAGCUCGUAGGUGGUUUGUCGCGUUGUCCGUGAAAACUCACAGCUCAACUGUGGGCGUGCGGGCGAUACGGGCAGACUAGAGUACUGCAGGGGGAGACUGGAAUUCCUGGUGUAGCGGUGGAAUGCGCAGAUAUCAGGAGGAACACCAAUGGCGAAGGCAGCUCGCUGGGACGGUACUGACGCUGAGACGCGAAAAGCGUGGGGGAGCAACAGG